UACAGAGGGGGCAAGCGUUAUUCGGAAUUAUUGGGCGUAAAGGGCGCGUAGGCGGCCUGGCAAGUGGAUGGUGAAAUCCCUCGGCUUAACCGAGGAACUGCCAUCCAGACUGCUUGGCUUGAGACCGGGAGAGGUGAGUGGAAUUCCCAGUGUAGCGGUGAAAUGCGUAGAUAUUGGGAGGAACACCAGUGGCGAAGGCGGCUCACUGGACCGGUACUGACGCUGAGGUGCGAAAGCGUGGGGAGCGAACCGG
rnacentral:rRNA from 1 species